UUUAUUGGAGAGUUUGAUCCUGGCUCAGGAUGAACGCUGGCGGCGUGCCUAAUACAUGCAAGUCGAGCGAAUGGAUUAAGAGCUUGCUCUUAUGAAGUUAGCGGCGGACGGGUGAGUAACACGUGGGUAACCUGCCCAUAAGACUGGGAUAACUCCGGGAAACCGGGGCUAAUACCGGAUAACAUUUUGAACUGCAUGGUUCGAAAUUGAAAGGCGGCUUCGGCUGUCACUUAUGGAUGGACCCGCGUCGCAUUAGCUAGUUGGUGAGGUAACGGCUCACCAAGGCAACGAUGCGUAGCCGACCUGAGAGGGUGAUCGGCCACACUGGGACUGAGACACGGCCCAGACUCCUACGGGAGGC
rnacentral:rRNA from 2 species